AGCAGCCGCGGUAAUUCCAGCUCCAAUAGCGUAUAUUAAAGUUGUUGCAGUUAAAAAGCUCGUAGUUGAAUUUCGGGGUUAGUAGGUUGGUCGUGCCUAUGGUAUGUACUGGCUUUACUGAUUCCUCCUUCUUGAAGAACUGUAAUGUCAUUAAUUUGGUGUUGCAGGGACACAGGACUGUUACUUUGAAAAAAUUAGAGUGUUUAAAGCAGGCUAACGCUUGAAUACAUUAGCAUGGAAUAAUGAAAUAGGACGUUUGAUCCUAUUUUGUUGGUUUCUAGGAUUGACGUAAUGAUUAAUAGGGAUAGUUGGGGGCAUUAGUAUUCAAUUGUCAGAGGUGAAAUUCUUGGAUUUAUUGAAGACUAACUACUGCGAAAGCAUUUGCCAAGGAUGUUUUCAUUAAUCAAGAACGAAAGUUAGGGGAUCGAAGACGAUCAGAUACCGUCGUAGUCUUAACCAUAAACUAUGCCGACUAGGGAUCGGAUGAUGUUAAUUUUUUAAUGACUCAUUCGGCGCCUUACG
rnacentral:rRNA from 1 species